UACGUAGGGUGCGAGCGUUGUCCGGAAUUACUGGGCGUAAAGAGCUCGUAGGUGGUUUGUCGCGUUGUUCGUGAAAACCGGGGGCUUAACCCUCGGCGUGCGGGCGAUACGGGCAGACUGGAGUACUGCAGGGGAGACUGGAAUUCCUGGUGUAGCGGUGGAAUGCGCAGAUAUCAGGAGGAACACCAAUAGCGAAGGCAGCUCGCUGGGACGUUACUGACACUGAGGCGCGAAAGCGUGGGGAGCGAUCCGG
rnacentral:rRNA from 1 species